UACGGAGGGUGCAAGCGUUAUCCGGAUUCACUGGGUUUAAAGGGUGCGUAGGUGGCUUUGUAAGUCAGUGGUGAAAGCCCGGAGCUCAACUCCGGAACUGCCAUUGAUACUGCUUAGCUUGAGUCACGUCGAGGUGGAUGGAAUAAUACAUGUAGCGGUGAAAUGCUUAGAUAUGUAUUAGAACACCGAUUGCGAAGGCAGUUCACUAGGCGUGUAUUGACACUGAGGCACGAAAGCGUGGGGAUCAAACAGG
rnacentral:rRNA from 1 species